rnacentral:tRNA from 1 species
UUUUUUGUAGUAUAGUAAUAUGAUUACCUUCCAAGUAAGAGUCACCUAAUAGGU